rnacentral:rRNA from 1 species
AUGGCUGUGCAGGACGCCGCCUACUCUAUGAUGACCAUUAUGCGAGUCAGAUCUGGUCUAUUUCGGGACUCUGAUUUCCGGUAUAUGCCAGGAUCACUUCCGGGAGCACAGGGAUAUCUCCAGGCUAUCUAUGCUGACCCCACUCAGGAGGAUUCACGGACUCGCACCACCGCUGAGAUGCUCGAGGAUAAGGACCGUGAAAAUCGGGCCUUGAGGUUAGAGCUCUUCAAUACCCGUGCUGACCACUGGGCCACUUUGACUCGGUUCGCACCGGCGGUGCAAGCUGGAUAUUUAGAUAUGCGCGAUCUCUAUCCUGUGAGAUCUGCUUUGCCAGACGUGAUGGGUUGGCGUGAUGUAGGAGGCAUCACCCCACCUCGUGGUCCCCGCAGGCCACCGUCUGUUGGUCCAAGGCCUCAUCCUAGCCCCUAUGGUCCACAGGCUCCGCGAGAUCGUCUGUUUCCGGAUGAUCAUGUUGAGCUUCCAGGCUAUGGAGGUGACUUCUACGAGGACUACUACGGAUCGGUCUGA